rnacentral:rRNA from 1 species
CCUACGGGAGGCAGCAGUGAGGGAUAUUGCGCAAUGGGCGAAAGCCUGACGCAGCGACGCCGCGUGGGCGAGGAAGGCCUUCGGGUUGUAAAGCCCUUUUGGCAGGGAAGAGCAAGGACUGUACCUGCAGAACAAGUCACGGCUAACUACGUGCCAGCAGCCGCGGUAAAACGUAGGUGGCGAGCGUUACUCGGAAUUACUGGGCGUAAAGGGUGUGUAGGCGGCCGAGCAAGUCGAAGAUGAAAUCCCAGGGCUCAACCCUGGAAUUGUCUUCGAUACUGCUGGGCUUGAGGGUAGUGGAGGAGAGCGAAAUUCCCGGUGGAGCGGUGAAAUGCGUAGAUAUCGGGAGGAACACCAUGGGCGAAGGCGGCUAUCUGGCUGGUAACUGACGCUGAGGUGCGAGAGCGUAGGGAUCAAACAGGAUUAGAUCCCCCUGUAGU